CUGGGCUUUUCACCCAUGAAGAGCCCAGCGUUUCAGAUAGUCCAAGCAGUCAGCUCAAUAUCACACGGCUAAUCCAGAGGUUGAGCUUGGGCCUCCUGCUACGUCCAGGGCUCCUGUGCUGGAGGGCGUUCAUCGCACUCAAAGGUACCGAGGGCAGUGGGGAGGUGGAUGUGUGUCUAGGGUGAGAGCAGGCCGCGCGUUCUCUGGCCCCGGUGGAGUGCCAUGCCCCGGCGGCCCCGGCCCCGGCGGUCACAGCGACGGGCACAGCCAGCUCCCUGCCCAGGUCGUUUUGUGUGAUCCGCGGCGGCGGUGUGAUUUAUUGACGGCUUUUCUUCCCCGCUGGGACAGCAUGGAAAUAAUCAGAUGAAUAAUGAGCCUGUGAAGACGGAUGCCGUCUGAGCCAGCGCCCACAGAAGGGAAUCCUACCCCGGGAUUCCCGCCUCGAGCAGCACAGGACGAUGGAUGUUUCCGCAGAAGGCUGGCCCUUGUUUGCUCCGUUGGCAGCCGAUUGUUCCUCUCUACGGACAGCAGAGAGGCUUCGGAUUUAAUAGUGCUGGCAGCUCUGUGUUCCAGGAGCGGGGAGGAGAUGAGCGCUGUUGGGCUCAGGGAUGACAGCACAGAACCUCGUUCUGGGGACAGAAGGCCGCCUCUGACCCCGAGUCGGCUGUCAGGCGGGCCAGCCACCCUCCGCGGAAGGUUUUCCCACGCAGAGGUGGCCACCCUACCUGGUGAUGAGCCCCGGUGCGCCCGUGCGACUUUCCUCACCUAUUGCUGGAUCACAAACCAUCCCCAAACUCGAGGCUUCACACCAAGUUGUUCUGCACCUUACCAUUCUAUGGGCCAGGUUUCUGUUCCACGUCGCGUUGGCUGGGGUGGCCCGACUGGGGCUGGAGGAUCCACCGUGGCCUCGCUCACGCGUCCGGGAGCGUGGUGCUGGCGGUCGGCGGGGUGCCUCAGUUUCCCUCCACACGGCCCCCCUCCGGCAGCGCAGCCCGGACUCGUUUACGCGGCAGCUGGGUCCCAGGAACAAAAGUGAAACGACGGUGAGCUCUGCGGAGAAACACCUGUGUUCUCUGAACCCCACGGGGCAGGCGCAGCACAGCACAGCGGCUCAGUCCCAUGUUCUCCGGGCUGUGGAUGGGGCAGCGAGAGGAAGAGAAAAGAGGGCUGCCCCGAGGUCCUGAGUUACACAAGCCUCAGAAGACGAACGUCCUCCAGGGAGAAAAGACAGCUGUUCUGGAAAAUGGGCCUGGCCUACAGACUGUGCCCAGCCACAGUGGGGAGAGGCUGGCAGUCACAUUCAUCCGUCACGGGCAUCUCUAGUUGGCUCUUAGCAAGCCCAGGGGAAAAGGCAUUUCUCUCUCUCCUAGUUUCUGCCUGUCCAUUCAGAGAACUUGGAGUGACCUUGCUUGGGUGUUCACACACGAUUGAUCCCUGGGGCCCCGGAAUUCUGAUAGGCUGAGCCCCAUCAGAUGACCGCCCUGGUUUGGGGUGGGUGGACAGCGUGCCCCUCCUCAGAUGCAAGGCUGAGCCAGGUGAGGGGAGCCCAGGGGACACCCCGCAGAAGCACCCUGCCUCAGGACAGCAUCCGGAUCUCUACUCCCUCCUGGGCUUUUCCACACUGGCAGAGUCCUCCGCGUUUCUGUCUGUCUUCCUCCCACCCCAGAACAACGCUGCCACCCCGCAAUG